rnacentral:rRNA from 1 species
AGUGAACGCUGGCGGUAGGCCUAACACAUGCAAGUCGAACGGCAGCACAGUAAGAGCUUGCUCUUACGGGUGGCGAGUGGCGGACGGGUGAGGAAUACAUCGGAAUCUACUUUUUCGUGGGGGAUAACGUAGGGAAACUUACUCUAAUACCUCAUACGACCUACGGGUGAAAGCAGGGGAUCUUCGUACCUUGCGCGAUUGAAUGAGCCGAUGUCGGAUUAGCUAGUUGGCAGGGUAAAGGCCCACCAAGUCGACGAUCCGUAGCUGGUCUGAGAGGAUGAUCAGCCGCACUGGAACUGGGACACGGUCCAGACUCCUACGGGAGGCAGCAGUGGGGAAUAUUGGACAAUGGGCGCAAGCCUGAUCCAGCCAUACCGCGUGGGUGAAGAAGGCCUUCGGGUUGUAAAGCCCUUUUGUUGGGAAAGAAAAGCAGCAGGUUAAUACCCCGCUGUUCUGACGGUACCCAAAGAAUAAGCACCGGCUAACUUCGUG